CAAAAUAAUGGGUCACGUUUACCACCACUGAGAGCGCAAGGGCCAUCCCUGGCUAGACAGUCGACUGUGGGACUUUCCUUAUCACGAAAACGCCAAGGAAAAGAUAGGUUAUUGAUAGUGUGAGCACUUACAGAACUACAAGCUCAUCCGUGAUUUCUACAAGUCUGUCAACUCCCUCUGCAGACCUGAAGGAAUGGGGAAAGUGGGAUGGAGUGAUUCAGAAAGAAGGGCAACAGACCCUCACCUCGGACCGAACAGCCAAUCACGGCGCUGAAUUCAGCUCUGUCUGACGUCGACGAUUACACUGCCCCGCAUCUCCCAUAGAAAAUUACAAGGGGAUCUUUGCUGACGUCACCUUGCCAACGCCUGAUUGGCCAGGCCGGAGAUGACUCCCAGCCAAUGGCCGAACGCAGUGGUGAUGUCAUGACGCAUGUUGCCACCAGCUGGACCAAGGGGGUGUGGUCUGUCGUAAACUCGGCUCACCAGUGUUUACUGCAAGUACGGUAGUACGAGAGAGAGCCAGGCUGCAUGGAAGAGUGGCGUGCAGAACCUCUGUAGUACUAUGGCAGUCACAGACAGACAGUAGGACAACGACUACAACGGACUUCUAGCCUAUUCUCAAUAGCACACUGGCAGAUUUUCGGGGAAAAAAAUAUAAUAAUAACAUUUUUGUUCUGGAUGUUUUUCUGCAAUACCUUUGAAAGAUACAUUUGGUUUGAGGUCUUUACCUUUGAUUCUGAUUAAGUGACAGAGAUAUAGAGUAGUCUCCUCUUUUUUUCCAGGCUGUGCAAACCAACAAAGACAGUUACAUAGUAAACAUUACAUCAUCCUUAUUUCUCUUGUAGUAGACAGACAAACAGACUCACGCAGAGACAGACAGCUUGGGCAGAAGCCUCUCACAGCGUCCUCGCUGUCGGUGUCCCCCUGUUGGUGUUCCCUCACAUGCCAUAUGGAGACGAUAAAAAAAAGAUGAAAAUAGUAGAAUCUCUGUUUAUACAAAAUAAUACAUGUUGAUUAAAAAAGACAACACAAAAAUCUGAGACACCAGCAGGUAAAGAGGCAGAUUGUGUUAGCGCGGCGUGUGCCAGUGUAUGAGAGAAGGUGGAAAGGAGCAGGAAGGGAGACACCUAGCGGUAAACAGACAACACUGCAAUGUGAUAUAAUGCCGUAAUCUCUAAAAACGUUAACGUCUGUUUGUCUGUCUGUGUCUCUGUCUUUUGCUGAUUAGUUACUUUCCAUCUCUGGAGAAUGAGUUAACUUUUAGUGCUGCUGUCAGGGAAGCAGUAUUUGGCUAUACGAACUCCACUGCAGACAGAGCAUUCUCUAGCUUUCUUCUUAGUUUCUGGAAAUACCAGGUAGAUUAUAUGAAAAUAUGCAGUAAUGUGUAGUUUGAAUGGAGUUAUAUUAUUACAGAAAGCAAUUGAGACUG